rnacentral:piRNA from 1 species
UGCAGAAUGCAGGUGAUCUGUACUAAGAA